GGACGAACGCUGGCGGCGUGCUUAACACAUGCAAGUCGAACGGAAAGGCCCUGCUUUUGUGGGGUGCUCGAGUGGCGAACGGGUGAGUAACACGUGAGUAACCUGCCCUUGACUUUGGGAUAACUUCAGGAAACUGGGGCUAAUACCGGAUAGGAGCUCCUGCUGCAUGGUGGGGGAUGGAAAGUUUCGGCGGUUGGGGAUGGACUCGCGGCUUAUCAGCUUGUUGGUGGGGUAGUGGCUUACCAAGGCUUUGACGGGUAGCCGGCCUGAGAGGGUGACCGGCCACAUUGGGACUGAGAUACGGCCCAGACUCCUACGGGAGGCAGCAGUGGGGAAUAUUGCACAAUGGGCGGAAGCCUGAUGCAGCAACGCCGCGUGCGGGAUGACGGCCUUCGGGUUGUAAACCGCUUUCGCCUGUGACGAAGCGUGAGUGACGGUAAUGGGUAAAGAAGCACCGGCUAACUACGUG
rnacentral:rRNA from 1 species